UCUUUCAGGAUAGACAAGUUUCGAGUCUACAAUAUAGAGACACUAAGUGAGAGUACUGAUAGUUAUUGGAGAACAUCAGUACUGAGUAUGACUAUAUGAGAGAUCAUAUGAAUGUCCACUCACUCGUCAGUGAUCUUCUCGAUGCUGUAGUAGUAUGAGUGAUUCUUUGAUCUACGGUGUAUCGAUUGCUCACAGUGAGAUUACUGUAGUUUGACCACACAUAAACAUGAUCUCGUAGUUAUUUAGAUCCUUGUAGUGUAUGUUGGCAAUAGUAGGUUCAUUGUAGGGUAGGGUGCGCA
rnacentral:lncRNA from 1 species